UUGUCUCCAUAUCGCUUAUUAUUGGAUUAUCUUGUCUCUCACUCCUCGCCCUCUCUGUCUCCUGCUAUUACUUAUUCACCCUUACCUCUGAGGCGGCUGUCUGGCUGCUGGGUGCGGGAAGUGGCAGAAAUUACGUUUAUGUUUACCAGGGAGUGUUGUUAGGUGCGCGCGAGAAUAUAGUACAUGAUCGUCUGUAUAGGUGUGUGUGUGUGUAUGUGUGUGUGUGUAAGUCCGUCUUUAAUCCCUUGUAGUUGAUUCUAUGUAUAUUCUUACCUUAUCUUACCUAAUUUUUCACCUUACCAUACCUAUACCUAAUCUUACCAUAUCUAAGCUUAUUUUACCUAACCUUACCAUAGCAAACUUUACCUAUCUUAUCUUACCUUACCAAAUCUGUUUGCCUGUCAUCCCCUCUCUUAGUCAGUUUCAGGUAUCUUUGUUUCCAUGGGUUAAUGAUGCAUCUUAUUUAACUAUCCUUGUAACCUCCCCAUAAAUUUUUGGAACUGGUGAUGUAGUGCGAUGCGAUGCGUCGAUAGUGAAACACCCGACACAUCAUGACGCAACACCCACCACUGCGGGCGACAUUCAUAGCCUCGCCCAUUGAUCAUAUGUACAAUCCUUGGCCUCUCCUGCUCUUCCCUUCUUAAAGUAGUCAGGCGCGCGCGACCCUGCUGUUCCCACCACUUCCUCCAUGACUACCCCAGUCCACUGAUCUCUCACCCUCGCUUUUAUCCUUCACUGCCGCACUUCCACACCUGCUACGUCACCUCUGCAUCACGUGGGCUGCAGUGUGGUAAUCGUACUCUCUCUCUCUCUCUCUCUCUCUCUCUCUCUCUGGUGCCCAGCAGUACAUAUAUAGCAGUGAUAUUGCGGCCUUCGUAUCCGCCUCGCCAACCACUAAUCUCUCCAACCAACCAUCGGCUUAGAAUACCGCCUUGACCACACCGUAGCGGUAUCAUAAAGACGAAGCUUUAGAAACACAUCUCGAGUCACGUUUCGAUCGAACUAACCGAGCUGACGACUGAGUUUCACCUCCACACCUCGUGUCUCACUCGCUUCUCGCAGUUGGAACCAUCCUCCAUCCUGCUGCCUGGAUUCGAUACAGCUACAAUGUUUUCCUUGUUAUCAGUUACUCAUCAUGUAUAUAAGGUCUCGCCAUCAGCCCUUUGGCCAGUGCGUCCCGCUGCAGCUUAGGACAAACAUCCUGGACUGGAGUAGCCCAGUGUGCUCAGCCUUCCGAGUUACACACACUUGGCACCACACUGGAGGAGGAGGAUACCAGUCACACACUAGGAGGAGGACAGUGACGAAGCACCGCGUUCAGCACAAGGGAAGAUCUGGAGUGAGUGUCCUGCCUCGCACAGUGAACGUGUGGAACGUGAAAGCAUCCUAGUGUGUCGCCUGUUUGGCCGUCUUCAGUCCGCCUCCAGGAGCCGCUCAUCCUGACGGAGCGCGCCAGCCGAGGGGCGUGCAGCGGCGGUGACCACGUCCAUCUGGAAGGUACCGAGGCACCGGGUCCAGAAUGGCGCGCGGGCUGGGCGAGGUGGACAAGGGGGUCGUGUCUGAGGUGGACGGUGAAGAGCGCAGCCACAUUAACGACACAGGUACCAACGCCGCCGCUGCUGCUGCAGUCACCUUUGUCCCCACCACGCCACCACGCAUCGGCACCGCCUGAGGCACCUCCACAUCCACCAGCAUUUCCACCGCCGCCGCCACCAACCACCACCUUUACUUCCGGAGGCCGUGACCCUUUUGCCUUCUGCCUUCUUCCAAGCAACUCCCUGAAUUCACUCCACUGUGUUUGUGUGUGUGUGUGUGUCUGUCUGUGUGUGUGUGUGCGUGUAUACGAGAGAGAGAGAGAGAGAGAGAGAGAGAGAGAGAGAGAGAGAGAGAGAGAGAGAGAGAGAGAGAGAGAGAGAGAGAGAGAGAGAGAGAGAGAGAGAGAGAGAGAAUCGCUCCUGACGUAAUGAUGUUCUACAAGCAUUACUGGCUCAAGAAGCGGUGGUGCAGGGUGGCACUAACAGCGACUCAGCGAGGGCCGAGCGAGAGUGCUGGUGAGGCCACAUAAACCCACACGUGAUCCACCUCAGUCUGCUGCCCGCUGCUCCAAGUGGGGUAUCCUGGCUGGCGUGCCGCCACUCCCACUGUGCUUCUCACCACUCUUCCCUCGCUGCGCCUCGCCUUUUGCAACCUGGUGUGUUUACUGUUUUCAUUUCCUUUUUUACUUUUGUAGUUCUCGUGAAUGAUGUAUUUGAAUGUGAAAUAAUUAAACUACAAGCAGA